AUUGAACGCUGGCGGAAUGCUUUACACAUGCAAGUCGAACGGCAGCACGGGGGCAGCCCUGGUGGCGAGUGGCGAACGGGUGAGUAAUACAUCGGAACGUGCCCGGUCGUGGGGGAUAACGUAGCGAAAGUUACGCUAAUACCGCAUACGAUCUGAGGAUGAAAGCGGGGGACCUUCGGGCCUCGCGCGAUCGGAGCGGCCGAUGUCAGAUUAGGUAGUUGGUGGGGUAAAGGCCUACCAAGCCGACGAUCUGUAGCUGGUCUGAGAGGACGACCAGCAACACUGGGACUGAGACACGGCCCAGACUCCUACGGGAGGCAGCAGUGGGGAAUUUUGGACAAUGGGCGCAAGCCUGAUCCAGCCAUUCCGCGUGCAGGACGAAGGCCUUCGGGUUGUAAACUGCUUUUGUACGGAACGAAAAGGCUCUGGCUAAUACCUGGGGCUCAUGACGGUAUCGUAAGAAUAAGCACCGGCUAACUACGUG
rnacentral:rRNA from 1 species